rnacentral:rRNA from 1 species
UACGAAGGGGGCUAGCGUUGCUCGGAAUCACUGGGCGUAAAGGGUGCGUAGGCGGGUCUUUAAGUCAGGGGUGAAAUCCUGGAGCUCAACUCCAGAACUGCCUUUGAUACUGAGGAUCUUGAGUUCGGGAGAGGUGAGUGGAACUGCGAGUGUAGAGGUGAAAUUCGUAGAUAUUCGCAAGAACACCAGUGGCGAAGGCGGCUCACUGGCCCGAUACUGACGCUGAGGAGCGAAAGCAUGGGUAGCGAACAGG